rnacentral:rRNA from 1 species
UACGAAGGGGGCGAGCGUUGUUCGGAUUUACUGGGCGUAAAGGGCGCGCAGGCGGCGCAUUUUGUCAGGCGUGAAAGCCCCGGGCUUAACCUGGGAACUGCGUUUGAUACGGAUGGGCUAGAGUUCGGGAGAGGAGAGUGGAAUUCCCGGUGUAGCAGUGAAAUGCGUAGAGAUCGGGAGGAACACCAGUGGCGAAGGCGACACACUGGCCCGUUACUGACGCUGAGGCGCGAAAGCGUGGGGAGCAAACAGG